UACGAAGGGGGCUAGCGUUGUUCGGAAUUACUGGGCGUAAAGCGCGCGCAGGCGGCUAUCCAAGUCAGUGGUGAAAGCCCGGAGCUCAACUCCGGAACUGCCAUUGAAACUGUUUAGCUGGAGUAUGAGAGAGGUGAGUGGAAUUCCCAGUGUAGAGGUGAGAUUCGUAGAUAUUCGGAAGAACACCAGUGGCGAAGGCGACUUACUGGACACAUAUUGACGCUGAGGUGCGAAAGCGUGGGGAGCAAACAGG
rnacentral:rRNA from 1 species